AUACAACAACCACACAACAGUUGACGUGGCUUGCAAUAAAAUAUUGUUUUCUUUUUCUUUUUUUGUUCAUGCGGCUAGAAAACCGGAGAGAGGGAAAAUCAAAUUUUCAUUUCCAAUUCAUUUCGCACGCUGCCUAGCCCCUCUCUCUCUCUCUCUGAAAUUUCUCUCUGUACAGAUCUUUUCUCCGGUCAGUGACGUCGCCGGCUUCUCCGUCGUCCGUCUUCCGGCGCUUCCCGCUCCGGCAGUUUCUCACUCACUCUCUCUCUCUCUCUCUCUCUCCGGCGGGAACCCAGCAGAUUCAGUCGUGUCUUCGCCGUUCUCUCUCGGCGGUCGCCUCCUCUGUCGUCCGGCGCUUCCUCUCCGGCAGAUUUCGUCUCAGUCCAGCUCUGUCUCCGGCCGGCCACGCUAAAAACAGCAUUUUCCAAAAUGGACUCUUCAAGUUCACGAGUGGAUAACUAGGGUGAAUUUGACGGUGCUUUAACCCAUCAAGAUGAUCAUCAAAAUGAUGUGAGUGAAAAAGUUGAAGAACUGAAGGAUUUAACGACUUUUAGUUCAGAUGAAGAGUUGAGUGAUAAGGAAGAAAAUGUGGUACUACUUGUGGUGUUAAAGGAUGAUGAGAAAAUUGAAGAACCGAAGUCAUCAAUGACUUUUAGUUCUAUAGAAGAAGUUUGCUCUUAUUAUAGGAGGUAUGCUAAGCAAACUGGGUUUGGUAUAGUUCUAUAGAAUGGUUUACUUCCACCAUGAGACCAAAAUGAUAGUUAAUGAGCUAAAAUGAAUAUUUUGUGUGGGAGUUGUAAUGGGGUAGCUUUCAAAUGGACUCCUGGAUGUACUGGAAAAGAUUGACUCCAUUAUUUUAUUUUAUUUCAUUUUAAUUUUUUUGUUCUUAUAUGAUGUUCAUAUAUGUUGUGUACUAGCUAAAGAAGUUGAGGUGAAUUUUGGAUGGUGUAUGUUAUUCUAGAAAAUCAGCUUUGGAUGGUGAAUUUUGGAUGGUGUA